GCAGAACGACCCGCGAACAAGUCAAAACAAAACACGGCAGGUGCCGGAGAGGGGCGCGCGCCCCCGACCGAGCCCUCCGCUGUGCCUCGGAUCCGUCCGCGGUACGGCACAAACAAAAAAAAUCCGGCGCAACUGGCGUCAAGGAAAUCUUAGCGGAAACAGGGCGCAGCACCCUAUCGCGGGGUGACGCCGACAAUCCGAUAUUUGAACGACUCUCGGCAACGGAUAUCUCGGCUCUUGCAUCGAUGAAGAACGUAGCGAAAUGCGAUACUUGGUGUGAAUUGCAGAAUCCCGUGAACCAUCGAGUCUUUGAACGCAAGUUGCGCCCGAGGCCUUCUGGCCGAGGGCACGUCUGCCUGGGCGUCACGCACAGCGUCGCCCCCUAACACACCCGUUGUGGGAGGGGAGCGGAGAUUGGCCCCCCGAGCCCCCGCGGGCGCGGUCGGCACAAAUGCUGGUCCCUGGCAGCGGUCGCCGCGGUCAAGUGGUGGCUUCAAAUACCAUUUCGGUGACCGGUUGGCGCCGCGGCCCUAGUCGGGACCGAAUCGACCCGCAGAGGCCAUUCCGAUGGCCCUUCACCC
rnacentral:rRNA from 1 species